GAGCCUGUAGCUCAGCCGGUAGAGCAUCUGACUUUUAAUCAGAGGGUCUCGGGUUCGAAUCCCGACGGGCUCACCA
rnacentral:tRNA from 1 species